rnacentral:lncRNA from 1 species
CUUUGGUUACAUCUUCUGACAUCAGACUCGGACUUCUCUUGAACUGAAUUUUAAUGUGCGUAUUGUUAUGCGUUUACUUUUCUACAUUGGCUAGAGGUAUAGGGGGAGGGUUGAGAUCUCACAAACAUGUUUAACCCCGCCGCAUUUUUGCGCCUGUCCCAAGCCUCUGGCCUUUGUUAGUCUUGUAUUAUUUUAAUUUUAGUUUCUUGUGUACAAUUUGUAAAUUAGUAUGGCGUUCAUUAUCACUGAACUAG